rnacentral:rRNA from 1 species
UACAGAGGUCCCAAGCGUUGUUCGGAUUCAUUGGGCGUAAAGGGUGCGUAGGCGGCGCGGUAAGUCGGGUGUGAAAUCUCGGAGCUUAACUCCGAAACUGCAUUCGAUACUGCCGUGCUUGAGGACUGGAGAGGAGACUGGAAUUCAUGGUGUAGCAGUGAAAUGCGUAGAGAUCAUGAGGAAGACCAGUGGCGAAGGCGGGUCUCUGGACAGUUCCUGACACUGAGACGACGAAGCCAGGGGAGCAAACGGGG